rnacentral:lncRNA from 1 species
UGCUGCACAGAGAGAGACUCCCCAUCACAAAACACAGCUCAUCUUUGCCACACCAGUCAGUCCUCACUGCGCUUUUGCAGACUGUUUAUAGGUUUUUAUGGGUGCAAACACAUAGACAAAAUAACUAGCAACACUGAAGAGCUGCCCUGCUAUCCAAUGCACUUCAUUGAAAAGUGGUUUUUCUUCUUUUUUUUCAGUUCUGACUAAUUUACCCAGGGGCAGACAUCCCCAGGCACAGGAUUGCUGUUUUACCCAGGACUGUACUCCCUGCUGGCAAAUAACCUGAAAUGUUCCAGAGGCUGCCAGGGAUCAUUUGAAAAAAAUGAUUUUUACAAAAACAGAACUUUGCUUCUCCUCUAGGGGAUGUCAAAGAAAGGCUGCCAGAGUGGGAUCUCGGUGCAAACAGCGCUCCUGGUUUCACUAAGGAAGGGCUGCUUCACUUUCUGAGGCAGGAUAUUUCUUGUCUUGUUGGGAGGAUUGUCUAGGAGCUGUAGAUAAGAAACUCCUAAAGGACAGGAAAAAGAUGAUGUAUUUUAUCUGUGGACUUCUGGAGAGGAGAUGUAGAAGUAAAACUGUCCCAUCAAACAGUCCAGUUUGAGUGUGUCACUUGAGAUGUAGCACAGAAUGAAGCCACUGUUAGGUGUGCAGGCAGGAUGGGCUCUGACAGAAAACACUGGUUUCUCUUUGCUUCUGGCAGGAGCAAGGCCAAAAUCUAUUGCUCAGGAUGAUUUU